CGCCGCAAAUGUAUCAAGGCCUAGGCGGGAGGCGGAGGAGAGGUGUAGGAGUACGGUGGAGGAGAAGAUGGUGGUGGCGGUGAUACGUAUGUAUAUGCUUUUGGAGGAGACACGGAAGGAGGUGGUGGUGAUGGGGACGGUGGAGGCGGUGAUGGUGGUGGUGGUGAUGGUGGGGGUGGAGACGGCGGUGGUGGAGAUGGUGGUGGCGGUGACGGAGGCGGUGGUGGUUUUGCAAUGUGAACUAAAGGCGGCAUUGCUAUUGGAGGUGGUGGAGAUUUGUAGGUGUAAGCUUUUGGGGGUGGGGGAGUCUUGUGGACAAUGGGGGAUGGAGAAGGAGAUGGUGGUGGUGGUGAUUCCUUAGGUGAUGGUGGGGGUGGUGAUUUUUCGGGUGAGGGAGAUGGUGGCGGCGGUGACUCUUUGGGUGAUGGUGGGGGUGGGGAUUCCUUGGGUGAUUCUUUGGGUGAUGGAGAUGGUGGUGAUUUGACAAUGGGCGAAGGAGAUGAAGAUGGUGGUGGAGUUUUAUAUGUUGGAAAUGGUGGGAAAGUAGGUAGAGGUGGGGGCUUGAAAUGAGGCGGAAAAUUAGGAUGUUUAUGAUGUGGUGGAGGCUUGAAGGUAAAUGGAGAUGGUGGGGAUUCUAUCGGAGGAACUGAUCCUGGUGGUGGCGGUGGACAUGUGUUAAUAUAAUGAGGUGGACCCGAGUAUGACGGUGGUGAUGGAGUUGGUGAGGGGGAACUUUUCGGGGGAGAUUUAUAGACGUAAGGUGAUGGUGAAGGUGAGGGAGAUGGUUGUUCUUUGGAUGGAGAUGGGGGAGAUUUGUAGACGUAAGGCGAUGGAGGAGAUUCAGUUGGGGGUGUUGAUGGUGAACUUGAUGGAGGGGGUUUGUAGGUGAAGGGCGAUGGAGGAGUUUCGGGGGAAGAUGAUGUUGGAGGAGGUGUUAGGCAUGCAUUGAUCGGAGGUGAUGGUGGAGGAGGAGGUGUUAGGCAUGCAUUGAUCGGAGGUGAUGGUGAUGGUGAAGUUGAUGGCGGAGACUUAUAGACGUAAGGAGAUGGAGGAGAUUCUUUUGGUGCCGGAGAUGGAGAUGGUGGAGAUUUAUAUACAAAAGGUGAUGGAGGAGAUUCUUUUGGUUUUGGAGAUGGAGAGGGGGAGGAUGAUGGUGGAGAUUUGUAGACAAAAGGAGAUGGAGGGGAUUCUUUAGGAGUUGAAGGAGAAGAGGGUGGUGGUGGGGGACAAGUGUUGAUAUAGUGAGGUGGAGCUUCAUGUGAAGGUGUUGAUGGACUUGGUGAUGGAGAGGAUGAUGGUGGAGAUUUGUAGACAAAAGGGGCAGGACCAGAUUCAGUUGGUGGAGGUGGUGAGACAUACACGUAUUUUUUAGGUGGUGGAGGUGGUGAGACAUACACGUAAGGAGCUUUUUUAGGUGGUGGUGGUGUAGAUGCAACCAGGGGUGCUGGUGGAAUUUCCUUAACUGGUGGAGGUGGGGAGAGAAAGAGGUGAGGUGGAGGCGGGGAAGGUGAAGGUGGAGGCGGGGAAGGUGGUGGUGAAGGCGGGGGAGGUGAGGGUGGAGGUGGCGAAGGUGGUGGUGAAGGCGGGGGAGGUGAGGGUGGAGGAGGCGAAGGUGGUGGUGAAGGCGGGGGAGGUGAGGGCGGAGGAGGUGAAGGUGGUGGAGAAGGCGGUGGAGGUGAAGGUGGAGGAGGCGAAUGUGGUGGUGACGGUGGUGGAGGUGAAGGAGGGGGCGGCGAAUGCACUGGCGGUGGUGGAGAGGGAGUCGAUGGUGGUGGCGGAGAGGUAUAAGUAUACGGCGGAGGGGAGGCCGGUGGUGGUGGAGAAACAUAACUAUAAGCUGGCCUCCCUUCCACCGCAAAACUACUCAAGAGACACCCCACAACUGCAUAGUGUAUUAGGGUUUGCCAAAAUGUGGCCAUUCUCAGACAGUUAAAACUGCAACACUCCUGAGAUUU
rnacentral:lncRNA from 1 species